GGUGUGGGGCGCGGUUGUUGCAUUGCCCACGCGCAGUAGGUGAUAAAUAUGGUGGGGAGGGUGAAGAACGGGAGAGUUUUGUGUUGCUCUCGUUUCGUGCACGCCUACGGUCUCACGUUUUUUUUGUUGGACCGUCACGGUCACAUACUUGCGGUGUAUAAUAUCCUGUGCUGUGUCUUUCAGCCCUGACCAAGCAAUGGAAGAUAUGAAUAAUUCUUCACACUCAAUGGGAGUUGGGCAACCACAUCAUCCAACUAAUCACACAAGACCAUUUUUCUAUGUUCAACCACCAACUCAACCUUAUUAUAAUAUGUACCAAUGGAAUAUGAGCCCAUAUGGCCAGUAUGGUCUUCCCCCACCAGUUAUUCCUUAUGGGCGUCCAUAUAUGGCUCCAUAUCCAUACACUGGUAUGCAGUAUCCUGGCUAUGUGGUUUCCCAGGCUCCGAUGCAGCCUGUUGAUUACAGUAGGGUGUUUAACCCCCACAUCUCCUCUGCGACCUAUGACGUCCAGUACCGCCACCACUACCAGCAACAGGCCUGUGUACUGCGAGAGACCGCAUGUUCAGAGGUUCAAACUGAUCCAAGCGACACUGUCCACAAGCUGAUCGACAGUCUGGACAGGCUCAGAACCAAUGAGAAGCCACCUGAAGACAUUGAGUUAAACCCUAAAUCUGACCUAGGGUCCCUAACCUCUGAGACAACCAUUUCUUCCUCUGGGAUGACCAUCUCUUCCUCUGGAAAUAUGGAAGAAUUCAGUGGGACGGGUAGGGAGUUGAGACCUCUGCCACAGAGACAGCCCCAACAGGGUAAGAGGAGGCAGAGGGACUCCCCUCUGCCCAGCAGUGUAUUCAAUGACUCUGCUAUUACAGCAGUGGUCUAUCAUGCAGAAACCAGUCAGAGUUGCCUGGAGGAGAUGGCCAUGCAGGAUUGCUGGUCCCUGGGCUCUGUGGUGCUGCCCAUCGACAGCUCUUCUGUCCGUGAGGAGAGUCUGGAGGAGUCUAGGCAGCAAUGCCACUCUGAGAAGAGCCACCUGAAUACUGAAGAACCUGGGAUGGAGGGGCAGUCCAGAGAACAUCCUAAUGCUCCAGAGGAUGUCAAAUGUGACUCUGUGGCCUUGACACAGAGCCUUGAACUGAAUGGGGCUUCACAUGACCACCACUCACUUGACUGUCUGGCUCCAGAACAAGAUUGUGACAAGGUUCUGAUACCAUCCGCCUCUGAGCUGAAGGACCCUGUAGAAAAUUUAGCCUCCAAGGCAGAGUCUUCUGACUUGCCUUACAGAAUCCUCAGGCUGCCCUGUGAUCAGGUUACAGGCAUGCUGCUGGACGAUCCACUGUGGUAUGUUGACUCUGCUGCGUCCAGUCUGGUGCCUCCACCGCAAAGCCAUCUGUCCCCGCUUGGGAGUGCCUACUACUGUAGCUACUACCCCCAAGUGGCCCAGGAGCGCCAGAGUGUCCUCAGUCCAUCCAUAGACGAGCUCUCCUCCAGAGACGAGCUCUUCUCCACUGAUAUCGAAGAUGUGGACCUUAUCUCUGGUGGUCACAUGUAUGUGGGAGGCGGCAAGCUAGCCGAGGCAACCUGCAAUACACCUGACCUCUCUGUUAAGGAAAACGUACCAACUCAAUCCAACCCAGUAGAAGAAGGGUUUGCAGCUUGUUCGAAGACCUGUCUCAGCUGUGGCCUGAGCCUAGCGGAAGAGUUGAGGCCAGACGACUCCCAAGGGCUAUGCCGUUAUGUUGAGCGGGAGGAAACGGAUGACUAUGUGCUAGAGGAAGAUGACUACAAUGAGGGAGGGGAGCUGUUGAGCGCCUGUCAGGUGCCUGUGAAGAAACCACAUCACCCUAACGGAGUGCCUCAGCCGCCUGCUCGCCAGUUUCAUAACAGUAAACCAAAGAGGGGCUGCUGUGAGGACCACCAUGAAGUCAUGUGUCAUGAAGAGCAGGAGCACGGUUACCUCUGGAGUUUUGACUGCUGUGAGGACCACAAAGCGACUGGCAAAGCUGACAAGUAUAAAGGGAAAGGAGGACAAAGAAAUGCCCCAUGCAGGCCUUAUAAUGAGAAACCUUGGAGAGCGGGCACUGUGGCAUCAGACCAAGAUAGCUGGGGGAGUUCUGGUGCCAAAUAUAAGCCAAAGUCUUGGAGACCGUACAAUGGGUCACAAGAACAAACUCAUGCUUCCCUCUCUGUAUCAUUCAGUGAGACCCCCACGCAGAAGGCCAUUCGUUCAGCAGAGGCCCCGAAGGACUGACUAUGACGAUCAUGAAGAAUCCGAGUUCUCUCGCUGCCAGAGGGGCCGAGGGACCACAAAGAGAAGGGGCACAAGAUAUUAGCCUAUUUAAGAAUUGCACCGCUCCUAAUAUAUUUAUUCUAAAUGUAUUACCUAAUAUAUAAAUCCACUUGCACUAUGAAAUGCACACAAAACACAUUGUAAUAAAUUAAUAGACACUCGUAAUGUUUGUAUACGUGGUUAAAAAAAGAAUCUCAGGCAGCAGUUCAACAACUAGCUACACAGUAGAUGCCUGCAUUUCCAUUGCUUGAAUGAUGGUAGCCAUGUUGGACGCUGUGUGUUCAUCCUAAUCACAGCCUGGGCUGCAGCCUCACAGACCGUACUGUGACGCUAACCCCCAUGUUGACCUGCAGACCAGAAUGGACCUGGGAGGUGUAGGUCCAGUCUACUCUGCAGCUUUUAAACUCUUUUUCAGUGUCUGUCGUUCACUGAGGAUGAAGCCCAGGUAAUAAGAUGUAUCAAGCAGUGGAAAUGCAGUGGCUUGGAGAGAUGGAAAACAAAAAAAUUGCUGGGCUUGUUUGAAGCUAAGAGCCAGUCAAUCUAAAUGUGUCUUUUUAUUAUUGUGCAGAUAUUUUAAGCAUUGCAGUGUAAUGUUGACAAACUGACAUCUACUUGUCUGCACAGUGUUGUUGUGUCAUUAAAAUCCUUGCAUUGCACUUUAAAAAA